rfam:Solanum tuberosum cultivar DM 1-3 516 R44 scf00314_35, whole genome shotgun sequence.
AUGUGGUACAUAUGAAAUUUGAAGUUAAUCAAUUUUUUAGUAUGUUUUUAUAUAUUUUAAGUUGCUAAUUAUUUUUAUUUAGAGUAUAUAUUAUAAAUCACAAUAAUUAACAAGUUAAUAUAAUAAGAAACUUAUAAAAAAUUCAUUGACUUUUGAAAUUUCAUUUGUAUCACAUAA